CAUGAACGCGCUCCGGACUGUUCCCGUGACUAGGCGCGUCCCUGACACCAUGCGACCUUUGGGUGUCGAAAGAAAGCAUGUAGCUUCCUAAAAAGAUGCAGCAACUUCGCUUGUAAUGAGAGGCACACCGCGCAGGCGUGGCUUUGUGUGUGAACUUCUUUUUUUCUCCCCGAUGAGCUAGUCGACGCACCUGCGCAUGCGUGAGAAAACCCCUGGUUGAAUGAAGGUGCUUUGACAUCUGAGAAGCUUUGACUCACGGGAGGAUCCCAUCCGUACUUGUUGGUGAAGGCAAGUUUUGGUCUCCCAAUGGACAGAAAGUGCUCUCAGGCCCCUUUUGCUGCUUCCAGGGAGACUCACUGACCUGUGAGGUUGUUGAAUCCAGCAGAUCCAUGGUGGGGAUUAGACAGCUGGCCUCUCCCAGGAAACACAUCAGGAUUUGGAGCACGUCAGCCCAGCGUCCAACAGUCAGCAUCAAGACCAUCAAUCCACCGAGUCGCACCACCACUGUGUUCAGGACAGCCUGGCUGCCGGGUAGCCGGUUCUUCUCCUCUGCAGGAACAAAAAUGCAACAUUUAUGAAAAUAUUUCCAAUUGAUGACAGGUCAAUAGAGGUGUCAAAUCAUCAGAAUGCUCAAAUGAAUGAUGAAUGACUUAGUGGUCGGACGAGACCAGGCGAGGCUUCAAACUGAUGAAUUAGUUAUUUUCCUCAGGCUGGAGAGAUGUCUACAAUAUCACAUGUUUGAUUGAUUAGAGUCUAAUGAGCAUUGCAGCAUCUUUGAAAUGAAAGAUUGUAUCACUUAGAGAUGUUAUAAACCGAUACCAGUUCAAUAAAUACCUCCUAUGUCAUCGAAAUAGCAUCUGGUAUCAGCAUGCAGGUCUACUAGCCCUGAAAGAGAAUCAAGUUUAUUCAUGUAGCCUAUUAAGGCCUACUUUAUUAUGUAUUUUAAUGCAUGUCAAAAGCACAUAAAAAUGAAAAAAGUAAAGAAAGUGGUUCUGGCAGAGUGUAACUUUAGUCGUAGCUACACUGACUCAACCUGUUUCACAUUAAAUCUAACGUAUAUUUCUUUAAUGGUACUGAUAGUUCAUAGAUUCACACGUUUGGGUGUCACAUUUGGUAUGGGGAAGGAAGCACUGCAACAUCUCUCUAAAUGUGUCAUGUUUCUCACCCUGCAUGUACACAACCAGAAGCGUGUAGCAGAUGGUCAGUGGCGUCCAAAACCUGAGGGCCUCUGAAGCAGAGAGGAAGUGCUUAUUAAUGGUUGCUAUGGCGGCCACCACAGCCACAGAGAA